rfam:Colletotrichum incanum strain MAFF 238704 contig2365, whole genome shotgun sequence.
GGUCUGGUGGUGUAGUUGGUUAUCACGUCAGUCUAACAGUUCGGGUCCUCUCGACUGGGCACACUGAAGGUCUCCGGUUCAAGUCCGGGCUAGAUCA